rnacentral:rRNA from 1 species
CGCGGCCUAUCAGCUUGUUGGUGAGGUAACGGCUCACCAAGGCAUCGACGGGUAGCUGGUCUGAGAGGAUGAUCAGCCACACUGGAACUGAGACACGGUCCAGACUCCUACGGGAGGCAGCAGUGGGGAAUAUUGCACAAUGGGCGCAAGCCUGAUGCAGCGAUGCCGCGUGCGGGAAGAAGGCCCUAGGGUUGUAAACCGCUUUCAGCAGGGAAGAAAAUGACGGUACCUGUAGAAGAAGGCGCGGCCAACUACGUGCCAGCAGCCGCGGUGACACGUAGGCACCAAGCGUUGUCCGGAUUUAUUGGGCGUAAAGAGCUCGUAGGCGGUUCAGUAAGUCGGGUGUGAAAACUCUGGGCUCAACCCAGAGACGCCACCCGAUACUGCUGUGACUUGAGUACGGUAGGGGAGCGGGGAAUUCCUGGUGUAGCGGUGAAAUGCGCAGAUAUCAGGAGGAACACCAGUGGCGAAGGCGCCGCUCUGGGCCGAAACUGACGCUGAGGAGCGAAAGCAUGGGUAGCAAACAGGAUUAGAUACCCUGCUAGUCCAUGCCGUAAACGUUGGGCACUAGGUGUGGGUCUCAACCAACGAGAUCCGCGCCGUCGCUAACGCAUUAAGUGCCCCGCCUGGGGAGUACGG